UGGUUCUGGCAUCGAUGAAGAACGCAGCGAAAUGCGAUAAGUAAUGCGAAUUGCAGAAUUCCAGUGAGUCAUCGAAUCUUUGAACGCACAUUGCGGCCUUUGGUAUUCCGAAGGCCAUGCCUGUUCGAGCGUCAUUAUCACCCCUCAAGCCCCCGUGCUUGAUGUUGGAGGCCUGGUCGCCUGCGACCCCUCCUAAAGACAACGACGGCGGCCUGUGGUUCCCCCGGUACAUUGAGUGUAUUCACACGCGUGUCGGACAAGGGCGCCCAGGUCCCGGUCCUCUCCCCCUCGCGGGGACAUUUUUAUCUAGGUUGACCUCGGAUCAGGUAGGGAUACGCGCUGA
rnacentral:misc_RNA from 1 species